rnacentral:rRNA from 1 species
UACGUAGGGGGCUAGCGUUGUUCGGAAUUACUGGGCGUAAAGGGAGCGUAGGCGGGCUCUUAAGUUGGAUGUUUAAAACCGGGGCCUAACCCCGGCGUGGCAUCCAAAACUGGGAGUCUUGAAUGGGGCAGAGGCCAGUGGAAUUAGAGGUGUAGCGGUGGAAUGCGUAGAUAUCUCUAAGAACACCAGUUGCGAAGGCGGCUGGCUGGGUCAACAUUGACGCUGAGGCUCGAAAGCGUGGGGAGCAAACAGG